GACGACGCUGGCGGCGCGCCUAACACAUGCAAGUCGAACGGAGCAAAUUAGUUACUAAGGUGCUUAGUGGCGGACGGGUGAGUAACACGUGAGUAACCUGCCUUUCAGAGCGGAAUAACGUUUGGAAACGAACGCUAAUACCGCAUAACGUAUAAUUGUGGCAUCACAGAGAUACCAAAGGAGCAAUCCGCUGAGAGAUGGACUCGCGGCCGAUUAGAUAGUUGGCGGGUAAUGGCCCACCAAGUCGACGAUCGGUAGCCGGACUGAGAGGUUGAACGGCCACAUUGGGACUGAGACACGGCCCAGACUCCUACGGGAGGCAGCAGUGGGGGAUAUUGCACAAUGGGGGAAACCCUGAUGCAGCGACGCCGCGUGAGGGAAGACGGUCUUCGGAUUGUAAACCUCUGUCUUCGGGGACGAAUAAAUGACGGUACCCGAGGAGGAAGCCACGGCUAACUACGUG
rnacentral:rRNA from 1 species